UACGGAGGAUCCAAGCGUUAUCCGGAAUUACUGGGCGUAAAGAGUUGCGUAGGUGGCAUAGUAAGUUGGUAGUGAAAGCGUUCGGCUCAACCGGAUACACAUUACCAAAACUGCUAAGCUAGAGAAUGAGAGAGGUAUCUGGAAUUCCCAGUGUAGGAGUGAAAUCCGUAGAUAUUGGGAAGGAACACCGAUGGCGUAGGCAGGGUACUGGCUCAUUUCUGACACUAAGGCACGAAAGCGUGGGGAGCAAACGGG
rnacentral:rRNA from 1 species